rnacentral:rRNA from 1 species
UACGUAGGGUGCAAGCGUUAAUCGGAAUUACUGGGCGUAAAGCGUGCGCAGGCGGCUAUGCAAGACAGAUGUGAAAUCCCCGGGCUCAACCUGGGAACUGCAUUUGUGACUGCAUAGCUAGAGUACGGUAGAGGGGGAUGGAAUUCCGCGUGUAGCAGUGAAAUGCGUAGAUAUGCGGAGGAACACCGAUGGCGAAGGCAAUCCCCUGGACCUGUACUGACGCUCAUGCACGAAAGGCGUGGGGAGCAAACGAGG